rnacentral:rRNA from 1 species
ACAGCAGUCGCCGCGGUAAUACGUAGGUGGCAAGCGUUGUCCGGAAUUAUUGGGCGUAAAGGGCUCGCAGGCGGUUUCUUAAGUCUGAUGCGAAAGCCCCCGGCUCAACCGGGGAGGGUCAUUGGAAACUGGGAAACUUGAGUGCAGAAGAGGAGAGUGGAAUUCCACGUGUAGCGGUGAAUGCGUAGAGAUGUGGAGGAACACCAGUGGCGAAGGCGACUCUCUGGUCUGUAACUGACGCUGAGGAGCGAAAGCGUGGGGAGCGAACAGGAUUAGAUACCCCUGUAGUCCCUGUCUCUUAUACA